rnacentral:sRNA from 1 species
AAAAAAAACAGGAGCCUUAGUUGUUAAAGAAAUCCAAACCCGCUAGAUGUAUCAGAGCGUUGAGAAAGCUUCUCCUAGAGUUAAGU